UUUACUUUUCCCUCUGCUUUUCUCAAGCAGAAUGAGUUUUGCCCCAUAGCCACCACAGCUAGUAACAUGCUGAGUUUUACCUCAAGCCAGCAAGUCUCAGAGGCUCUCUAAGGCCCUCAGUGUAGUACAAGACAGCUGGAUUAUUAUGUGCGCUUCUAUAUCCAAUCUGUUGCCAUAUCACAUAUUAUGUAGCCUCUGGAAAACUCCUGUCUCAUGAGAGAAUGAAUGAAAAAGGGUUGCACUGAAUUUGUAGAUUGAUUCAGAAAGAGUUGACAUCUUUGUCUACUUUAAAGAGAAGCCAUCAAUGGAUAUGUCUCUUC
rnacentral:lncRNA from 1 species